UUUCUAUAUCAACCACUAGAUAAGCCUGUUUGCAAGCUAGCCUUAAACAAUGGUAUACAUAACUUCGCUAUCAAGGGCUGAUGAAACUACUCAUACUAGUGCCUUUCAGAACAGAACUCAAUACAGGAAUAAAGUCACCCACCGAAAAUGGAAGUUAUUUAUUGGUCUCCUUAAUGCAACACAGGGGCGCGUUCCGGCCAAUAGGAUGCUGCCGUGCCGUGGCUAAAAAAAGCUGGGGGAUCGACGGAGGUGCGUCAGCGCUGUCGCACCGGCGGUGGGAUGUCGCCUGGGCUGUGCAGCAGGUGAACCGAGCCUCAGGACUGGUGGCGGCAUCUUUCUUCAUCGGUACACGGCUGUUGUUGAGUAUCUCUCCCGUUUGCCAAAAACGGAAGGCAGUGAUUUUAUAAAUAUGGUUCCCACAAAAAUUACAGAUUUCCUCGUUGGAAUUAGGAAUAUGCAUAUCCGCAAAGCGUCAUAAAGCAAAUCAAUUAACUGUAAAUAAAUGAUGUUCCAUAUCUAUAAUUAAAGGACUAAAGCUAAUUUUAUAUACACAUACACAGAGCGCGCGCACGCACACAUAUUAGCAAAUGCACACACUACACAUGACUUCAAAAGCAUGCAUUACAUUAAAAUAUAAUUUUAACAGAGGCGCCUACACAUUUUUUUUUAAGUUUGCUUGCAUAACAGACCUUGUAGCUAAGGCAAGCCGUUUUAACAUUAAAUAAGUAGGCAGCAUAGUAAUUUUAGGUAUGAGCAUUUCAGACAUCCGUAAUUCAGUUCUUACUAAUAGGAAUGACGUCACUUGACUUAGUUAAAGAUCUGAAGAUAUAGAACAGAAGUGAAAUCUGUUACAGAUAUCUUCAAAUACAGCUUUUACUAGUAAGAAUAGACUAUUGGAUAUCACAGAUUACUAAAAUGCAAUUCUUCCUAGGAAAAACAGAAUUCUGAAUAUCUAAAAUACAACUACAGACAGGAAAGGGGUGUGUUUAAAUGUUAUAACAGCUUGCUAUAUGUAGCAGUUUUAGCAUCCCAUUACAAACGUCUGUGUUUUUCAAAGAUGCUUUAUGUGGGAUGUAGCGAAGAAGAAAAAGCGGCGGAGACACACUGAAAACACGCCUCCAUUCCUGACGUGACAUCAGCCCCAGAUUUACACAGGAGUGAAAAGUGUCUCCUUUUGGAAGGAAAUGUCUCAAAAUAAGCCACCUGAUUCAUUUCCUAUGCCACGCUUUCAUGAGUCCUGGUGUAACUGGAGAAAAGCUUGACCACAGGUACCAUCAAUGCAUCUGCUAAUUAGGAUGUUCCUGCCGCUCUGAAACAGAAGAUCAGCCUCUUACACAACAAGUUAUUUAAAACCGUGAGGAUCUCGCAACACAGAGGGCCGUGCAGGAGACAUCAGUUAAGCUGACCAUGUCCUUGGGCUGCAGCGGGAAAGGUAGUGCCCUGAGGAAGCCUUCGUGAUACAGGAAGAAACACACAAACUCCGCACACACUGUAGAAACGAGAUUUGGACCCCAAAACCCGGAGGUGAGCCUGAAUUGACUGGAUUGGACAUCAGAGAGAGUUUAAGAGAAAGAGAUGUAGCCACACUUCUUGAAUAUGAGGAGAAAAGACCUUUAACCCUUCAAUCGUCUAUCUAAAAAGCUCUUAUCUGGGGUUUUCCUGCCAAGGUUGGCUACUGAAGAGAAGUUUCUGGUGCAACACGGCGUGGUCCAGGGUCUGGUGGAGGACAGACUACUUCACACACAGGUUCCUGAAUGCCGUGGCUCCACCUCCUGGUGUGGCACACUACCUGUGAGCAUACUGCACUGAGCAGGGCCCAUCCGGCUGCUGGGUCCCGACCAGUCGACAGCACUUAACAGACAGAUCUGCUACAGAGAUCUGAAGCCUUAUGCUUACAGGAUGUGGCACGGGGUCCAGGAGAGUGAACUUAUACUUAAAGAGGAUCAGGCAGAUGAACAUGUGGAUCUCCAUCAGGGCGUAAGACCUGCAAGAACAGGAGAGAUUCCUCUCUUCAAUGUCUGACCGCCAUGGUGAAAGCCAUCAGAAAAAUUACUGCUCCAUCAAAGCCCACAGGGCUGUGGCUCCGCCCUACGCGUGUCACUGCUGUCCAAUGAAAACCUGCAGCCCACAGGGCUGUGGCUCCGCCCUACGCGUGUCAGUGCUGUCCAAUGAAAACCUGCUGCCCACAGGGCUGUGGCUCCGCCCUACGCGUGUCAGUGCUGUCCAAUGAAAACCUGCAGCCCACAGGGCUGUGGCUCUGCCCUACGCGUGUCACUGCUGUCCAAUGAAAACCUGCAGCCCACAGUGUUAAAUAAUGCAGGUGGCUGACACUGCAUGUGUCAAAAGAGCUUAGUGCUAGUCUUCAACCCUCCCAAAUUGCUAUAGAAAUUGAGUGUCGAGGGGGGACAGGGUUAACUGGUGUUAUUUUCUUCAGACAAAUUUGUGCAUAUUUGUACAAAUAGGUUCAAUGCCACAGCAUGGAAGAUAGAGUGAUGUUGAACUGUGCGCUGCGCACUCUGACAUCGUAUUUUCAGUAUCGCGUUAGCAUCCUGACUGAGCGUGAUUGACGAUUGACUCGUCAACCCUGGUUCCCAGAGGUAGCUUAAAGAAAGGUGGGAGGGGCUUCAGCCUGACACAAGGGUGACGAUUCACUCAUCUGAGCUGUGCUUCCUGCAAAGCUAUGGCAGCUGGAGCCUGAAACCGUACGGGAAUGUGUGUGUGUGUGUGUGUGUGGUGGCAGGUCGGGGGAGGGGAGCGGGUGCUGAUGCUGAAUGCAGCUGUAUCACGGAGCUUUAUCUGUCAUAAUAACCUUGAGGGCAGCGAGCAAACAAUGAGUCAUGGUGGGCUACCGUGUCAAUGACGCACACAAGCAAUCUCCCGUAACAACACUGCUCUGGAGAGAACGGGAGGCUGUGGCACCCGUGCCUCACUGCGGUUGGAGGAGGCCUUUCUCUGCCCCUCCGCCAUGAGGGGCACACUGCCAGCAUAGAGGAGGAGGAGA